CUGGGAUACCAUUUGGAAACAGAUGCUAAUACCGGAUAAAAAGCUACUUUCGCAUGAAAAGAGUUUAAAAAAGGCGGCGUAAGCUGUCGCUAAAAGGAUGGACCUGCGAUGCAUUAGCUAGUUGGUAAGGUAACGGCUUACCAAGGCGAUGAUGCAUAGCCGAGUUGAGAGACUGAUCGGCCACAUUGGGACUGAGACACGGCCCAAACUCCUACGGGAGGCAGCAGUAGGGAAUUUUCCACAAUGGACGCAAGUCUGAUGGAGCAACGCCGCGUGAGUGAAGAAGGUUUUCGGAUCGUAAAGCUCUGUUGUUGGUGAAGAAGGAUAGAGGUAGUAACUGGCCUUUAUUUGACGGUAAUCAACCAGAAAGUCACGGGCUAACUACGUGCCAGCAGCCGCGGUAAA
rnacentral:rRNA from 1 species